UUUGCUUUGCAUCUUUAGGAUUGUGUUGAAAUCAAAAUAUAAAAAAAUCAACACACAACUUACCCCUUCUGAUGAAAGUUAAUGGUUGUUCCUGUAUGCAAAGACCAAAUUCUUCUUUUGUUAGAAGUCAAAGAUGUAGUAUGAACAGAUGCAGAAUGGGGGGGGGGGGGGGGGUUAUACCAAAAUAUUUCUUGUUCCUAUUUAUCAUUAAAAAAAAUGCUUGUUUUUUAUAAAAGUCUUAAAUGUCGCCUGUGAAAAAAAAAAUAACACUCUAUUUACAAACUGGUUAAGGUCAGUGUUUAAUUAUGUUCAUUGCUUCCUGGUCUGUGCCUAAGUAUGAUGCUGAUUUAUGGCCUUCUGAGGUCAAAUGCUUAGUCUGUGCCUUCUGAGGUCAAAUGCUUAGUCUGUGCCGUCUGAGGUCAAAUGCUUAGUCUGUGCCUUCUGAGGUCAAAUGCUUAGUCUGUGCCUUGUGAUGCCCAAUGCUUGGUCUGUACCUUUUGAUGUCAAAUGCUUGGUGUGUGCUUUUUGAUGUCAAAUGCUUGGUCUGU
rnacentral:lncRNA from 1 species